ensembl:ncRNA K07C6.17 ncRNA
ACUUGUUUCCAUUUUUCACAAAAACUUCUUGCGACGUUUCAUAAUCACAAAUGCUCACAUGAGGGAUUGG